ACAUGCCUACAACAUAGCGUUAAUGCAUCAGAUCCCAUUAUAACUCUGCAUUUAAGUGUGCUCAGGAUAGAGUAGUACCGGGACAAGUGUCUGCUUGGCAAGUCCUAGUGUUUUACAUGCC
rfam:Picea glauca, whole genome shotgun sequence.